rnacentral:rRNA from 1 species
AAAUGAAUUGACGGGGGCCCGCACAAGCGGUGGAGUAUGUGGUUUAAUUCGACGCAACGCGAAGAACCUUACCAGGCCUUGACAUGUCUUCAAAAGCCCAAGAGAUUGGGAAAUAGUUAUGGAGAACACAGGUGGUGCAUGGUUGUCGUCAGCUCGUGUCGUGAGAUGUUGGGUUAAGUCCCGCAACGAGCGCAACCCUUGUCUUUAGUUACCAUCAUUAAGUUGGGGACUCUAGAGAGACUGCCGGUGACAAACCGGAGGAAGGUGGGGAUGACGUCAAAUCAUCAUGCCCCUUAUGGCCUGGGCUACACACGUACUACAAUGGCGUAUACAGAGAGAUGCGAAGUGGCGACAUGGAGCGAAACUCACAAAGUACGUCUCAGUUCGGAUUGAAGUCUGCAACUCGACUUCAUGAAGGCGGAAUCGCUAGUAAUCGCGGAUCAGCAUGCCGCGGUGAAUACGUUCUCGGGCCUUGUACACACCGCCCGU